GUGCUCACUUCAUCAGCACAUAUACUACAAUUGGAAAGAUACCGAGAUUAGUAUGGCCCCUGUGCAAGAAUGACAUGCAAACUCGUGAAAUGUUCCAUAUUUUA